GUGCUCGCUUUGGCAACACACAUUCUAAAACUGGAAGGAGAGAGAGAGAAGCUUAGCGUGGCCCACGAGCUAGGAUGACAUGCAAAUUCACGGUGCAUUCCAUGUUCUG